UACGGAGGAUCCAAGCGUUAUCCGGAUUUAUUGGGUUUAAAGGGUGCGUAGGUGGCCUGUUAAGUCAGGGGUGAAAGACGGUAGCUUAACUAUCGCAGUGCCCUCGAUACUGAUGGGCUUGAAUGAACUAGAGGUAGGCGGAAUGUGACAAGUAGCGGUGAAAUGCAUAGAUAUGUCACAGAACACCAAUUGCGAAGGCAGCUUACUAUGGUUUUAUUGACACUGAGGCACGAAAGCGUGGGGAUCAAACAGG
rnacentral:rRNA from 1 species